GUGGGGAAUUUUGGACAAUGGACGAAAGUCUGAUCCAGCCAUGCCGCGUGCGGGAAGAAGGCCUUCGGGUUGUAAACCGCUUUUGUCAGGGAAGAAAUCCUUUGAGUUAAUACCUCGGGGGGAUGACGGUACCUGAAGAAUAAGCACCGGCUAACUACGUGCCAGCAGCCGCGGUAAUACGUAGGGUGCAAGCGUUAAUCGGAAUUACUGGGCGUAAAGCGUGCGCAGGCGGUUAUGCAAGACAGAUGUGAAAUCCCCGGGCUCAACCUGGGAACUGCAUUUGUGACUGCAUAGCUGGAGUGCGGCAGAGGGGGAUGGAAUUCCGCGUGUAGCAGUGAAAUGCGUAGAUAUGCGGAGGAACACCGAUGGCGAAGGCAAUCCCCUGGGCCUGCACUGACGCUCAUGCACGAAAGCGUGGGGAGCAAACAGGAUUAGAUACCCCAGUAGUCC
rnacentral:rRNA from 1 species